GGAAUCAUUGUGGAAGAGUGGACAGAGAGAUAAGGGCCAGAGGCUGUGUGUGACUGCAAGGAAACUAUCUUGUGGGUGCAGCGGGGCGGUGCACAGAUGGACUCCCAGUGGUUGCGACAGCAUGCAUAGGACCUGAACAAGCUCAAGCCAGACUAAGUGUCCGCAUGCAAGGCAGAGUGAGGCAUGAGAGUCCACCCUCAACUGUGCAGCUGCUGGGCAAUGAAAAGUCCGUUUCUCCAGGAGCACAGCCUCUGGGAUCAAACCCAGGGCCUCACGCACAAGGCAAGCACUGCCACAGAGCCACAACCCCUGGAUCACGGUGGAAGUUUUAUAUUCUGACUGCUAUCACGGCUGUAGGACUCAAUACCACUGUGGAAACUCAGCUUCGUUGAGCAUACACCAGAUCAACUUUGUUGUAAGUUUCAAAAGCCAACAAGCAUUUGCUGAAGGUCUCUGGAAAACUGUCAGACUGUGAUGAGGUGAGAAGGGAGCACCUCCCUUGGACACAUACCGGAGGGUCCUCCUGAGCAGAGCCUUGCCACAUCCAGUCACGAAAGAGCCUGCUGCUUUCCAAACGCCACUCACUGGACUGCCUCAGUGAGCCAGCGUUAGCGAUGGCUUGACGAUGUUCUGGAAAACUCUGCAGACUGCUGCCCUCGGUGGGCCCCCAUCCAUCCUGGCCCCACUUUGUCCUGGGCAGACAAGAGGCUCAGGGCUCAUCUGACGAGUCGAGGAGUCGUGACUCUGGCUUAACAACAAACGACGCUUCCUUUCCAGGAAGCCCAGUCACACGGCGAGUUCUGCUGACGAUGCAGCUUUCUGGUCAAAGUUUCAAGUUCUGAGUUUGUUCACCAGCAAUAGAUGGUUUCAUUCCUCAUCUUGAUGCUGUGAGAUGACCCAGAAUGCAGGCAACCAGAGGCACAGCCAUUAGAGUCCAAAUUAGCC